rnacentral:tRNA from 1 species
UUCCCUGUGGCUCAGUUGGUAGAGCAUGGUGUUUGCAACGCCAGCAUGGUGUGUGCAACACCAGGGUUGUGGGUUCGAUUCCCACGGGGGGAC